GACGUGAAGGCGCGAGCGUUGUCCGGAUUUAUUGGGCGUAAAGAGCUCGGUAGGCGGCUUGUCGCGUCGACUGUGAAAUCCCGGCGGCUCAACUGCGGGUCUGCAGUCGAUACGGGCAGGCUAGAGUUCGGUAGGGGAGACUGGAAGUUCCUGGUGUGAGCGGUGAAAUGACGCAGAUAUCAGGAGGAACACCGGUGGCGGAAGGCGGGUCUCUGGGCCGAUACUGACGCUGGAGGCGCGAAAGCGUGGGUAGCGAACAGG
rnacentral:rRNA from 1 species